CCGGUGACAAACCGGAGGAAGGUGGGGAUGACGUCAAGUCCUCAUGGCCCUUAUGGGUAGGGCUUCACACGUCAUACAAUGGUCGGUACAGAGGGUUGCCAAGCCGCGAGGCGGAGCCCAAGUCCCACAAAGCCGAAUCGUAGUCCGGAUUGUUCUCUGCAACUCGAGAGCAUGAAGUCGGAAUCGCUAGUAAUCGCAGGUCAGCAUACUGCGGUGAAUACGUUCCGGGGUCUU
rnacentral:rRNA from 1 species